GCAAAGAAGAACAGAUGGAAAAUUGGAUUUCUUUAGGUUUUGGGACGAUUACAAGACCGGUUUUGGUGACCUUAAUGGGGAUCAUUGGCUAGGAAAUAACAACCUCCAUGCCAUCAUGCAAGAAAAAUCUUAUACGGUACGGUUUGACCUUGAGGGUUUUGAUGGAACUUCAGUGUAUGCCAUAUAUGAUCAUUUUAGUAUAAACAGUGAAGAGACGAACUACGCCUUGAGUAUAUCUGGUUAUCAUGGAACAGCCGGUGAUCCGAUGACAGUUAUGUAUGGUGAAAAUGUUAUGUUUUCGACUCGCGACCGUCAUGAAAUUACAAAUAAGAUUUGUGCUCACGUUAAGUUGAGUGGUUGGUGGUUUCUUGUAUGUACUCAAGCUAAUAUUAAUGGCGUAUAUGGUGUCGGUUCAAAUGCAUACAGCAACUAUUGGAAACCUUGGA